rnacentral:rRNA from 1 species
UACGGAGGGGGCUAGCGUUGUUCGGAAUUACUGGGCGUAAAGCGCACGUAGGCGGCUUUGUAAGUUAGAGGUGAAAGCCCAGGGCUUAACCCUGGAAUUGCCUUUAAGACUGCAUCGCUAGAAUCGUGGAGAGGUGAGUGGAAUUCCGAGUGUAGAGGUGAAAUUCGUAGAUAUUCGGAAGAACACCAGUGGCGAAGGCGACUCACUGGACACGAUUGACGCUGAGGUGCGAAAGCGUGGGGAGCAAACAGG